AUUGAACGCUGGCGGCAGGCCUAACACAUGCAAGUCGAACGAGUGGCGGAGGGGUGUGUAAUGUCUGGGAAACUGCCCCAUGGAGGGGGAUAACUACUGGAAGCGGUAGCUAAUAUCGCCUACUAUCGGAUGUGCCCAGAUGGGCUUAGCUUGUAGGUGGGGUAACGGCUCACCUAGGCGACGAUCCCUAGCUGGUCUGAAUGGAUGACCAGACAAACUGGAGCUGAGACACGGUCCAGGCUCCUACGGGAGGCACGAGUGGGGAAUAUUGCACAAUGGGCGCAAGCCUGAUGCAGCCACUCCGCGUGUAUGAAGAAGGCCUUCGGGUUGUAAAGUAGUUUCAGCGAGGAGGCGUUACUCGCAGAAGAAGCACCGGCUAACUCCGUGCCAGCAGCCGCGGUAAUAC
rnacentral:rRNA from 1 species